rnacentral:rRNA from 1 species
GAUAUUGGGCGUAAGGGCUCGCAGGCGGUUUCUUAAGUCUGAUGUGAAAGCCCCCGGCUCAACCGGGGAGGGUCAUUGGAAACUGGGGAACUUGAGUGCAGAAGAGGAGAGUGGAAUUCCACGUGUAGCGGUGAAAUGCGUAGAGAUGUGGAGGAACACCAGUGGCGAAGGCGACUCUCUGGUCUGUAACUGACGCUGAGGAGCGAAAGCGUGGGGAGCGAACAGGAUUAGAUACCCUGGUAGUCCACGCCGUAAACGAUGAGUGCUAAGUGUUAGGGGGUUUCCGCCCCUUAGUGCUGCAGCUAACGCAUUAAGCACUCCGCCUGGGGAGUACGGUCGCAAGACUGAAACUCAAAGGAAUUGACGGGGGCCCGCACAAGCGGUGGAGCAUGUGGUUUAAUUCGAAGCAACGCGAAGAACCUUACCAGGUCUUGACAUCCUCUGACAACGCUAGAGAUAGGGCUUUCCCUUCCGGGACACAGAGACACGUGGGGCGUGGGUGUCGUCACCUCUCGUCGCGAGAUGUUGGGUUAAGUCCCGCAACGAGCGCACCCCUUGAUCUUAGUUGCGAGCAUUCAGUUGGGCACUCUCUGGUGACUGCGGGUGACACACCGGAGGAGAGUGGGGAUGACAUCUAAUCUUCUUGCGCCUUAUGACCUGUGCUACACACGUGC